UACCAGCACCCCGAGUGGUCGGGACGUUUUAUUGGGCCUAAAGCAUCCGUAGCCGGUUCUACAAGUCUUCCGUUAAAUCCAACUGCUUAACAGGUGGGCUGCGGAAGAUACUAUAGAGCUAGGAGGCGGGAGAGGCAAGCGGUACUCGAUGGGUAGGGGUAAAAUCCGUUGAUCCAUUGAAGACCACCAGUGGCGAAGGCGGCUUGCCAGAACGCGCUCGACGGUGAGGGAUGAAAGCUGGGGAG
rnacentral:rRNA from 1 species